ensembl:lncRNA
ACAUGAAUGCGCCCGGGUCAGAGGUUCUUGGGGGCCCUCCAGGUGCUCUGCCCUUCCCCACCACAACUCCUGCAACUCCAUCCCUUGGCAGGCAUUGCUGUUAUUUGUGUGGAAGGUGUUGUUCCUGAUAAGACUUGCAGUCCACAUGGCUGGGAGCAGUUACCAUGAUACAGGAAGCCAGAAGAAGCAACGGUCUGUUCUCCUAAAGAAGUCUGUAGUAGAAUAAGAGGUUAUAUUUGGGAUCAGUUGGAUGUCCCAUUGGACUAUCUUACAAGCAAUUAUAAACAUGGAACAAGUGCUGACUCCAUUCGUUUAUCAACGGAGCUGUGAUUAGGACUCAGGUCACAGCUCCAGGCUCAGUGCUCUUCAUACUGUUAUUCACAACAACAACAAAAACAGCAAUAUAGAUUUAUGUAGAAC